rnacentral:rRNA from 1 species
UACGAAGGGGGCUAGCGUUGCUCGGAAUUAUUGGGCGUAAAGAGCUCGUAGGCGGUCUGUCGCGUCGGAUGUGAAAAUCCAGGGCUCAACCCUGGACCUGCAUUCGAUACGGGCAGACUAGAGUUCGGUAGGGGAGACUGGAAUUCCUGGUGUAGCGGUGAAAUGCGCAGAUAUCAGGAGGAACACCGGUGGCGAAGGCGGGUCUCUGGGCCGAAACUGACGCUGAGGAGCGAAAGCGUGGGGAGCAAACAGG